rnacentral:rRNA from 1 species
CUGAAGAGUUUGAUCCUGGCUCAGAUUGAACGCUGGCGGCAUGCCUUACACAUGCAAGUCGAACGGUAACAGGGAGCUUGCUCCGCUGACGAGUGGCGAACGGGUGAGUAAUACAUCGGAACGUGCCCAGUAAUGGGGGAUAGCUCGGCGAAAGCCGGAUUAAUACCGCAUACGCCCUGAGGGGGAAAGUGGGGGACCGCAAGGCCUCACGUUAUUGGAGCGGCCGAUGGCUGAUUAGCUAGUUGGUAGGGUAAAGGCCUACCAAGGCGACGAUCAGUAGCUGGUCUGGGAG